AAAAUUGUCUGAUUCCGUCAGUGCAGCAAUAUCUAACAUGUAAACUAACAAUUCCACAGCAACUACCUAACAUACACAUAUCUAAGGAAAGGAAUGGAAUAAGAAUAUGCACAUGUCAAUAUAUGGUUGAGAUUUGAAAUAAUACAUUAAAAAACAUAAAACUGCAAGGUUCCUUAAGGACUAGAAGCGAGGCAGUCCUCUCUGUCGGCGCCAUCUUUUGGUAAACAUUUCAGGCAUUUUCCCUGCUCUUUCCUCAUCUGAGAGUGACUACUGUAGGCUGGUUUGUACACUCCUCUCUGUAUUUAUUUGGAAAGUGAAGCAAAAAUGAGUACAUUUGUCUCUAUACUCCAGGAUUUUUUUUAUUUGAGAUCAAAUGUUUCAUACUGUAUGAGGUGACAGUACAGUGUCUGUUUUACCGUUUAGAAAUAAAAUCACUUUAUGUAUCUAGUCCCCCAUUUGAAUGUGAAUUUUUCUUCAUAAGUAUUUGGACAAAUUCACUUAUAGUGUAUUAAAGUAGUCAAAUGUUUUAGUAUUUGGUAGUGGACUAAACUCCAUGGUGAAGGAAGUUUAUGAUGAACUUCAACAACGGCGUGGAUCCGAGACCAGGCUUUGUGGAAUCUAGCUCCAACUACAUCGAUUCGCCCAAGGUCAAUACUUACAAAAAAUAAUCAUAUGAAACGCCCACAUUGUACCUCUGUAGUUGCGUGCCUUUCUUUGUUUGCUAAAAUCCAUCUAUUUUCAAUAAACGUAAAUAAAAUAACACCACCAAAUGUUUCUUGGUUUAGAUUCAAUUGGUACAUGCGCAUUUGCGCUGAGUUGCCAUCUUAGAGCAACAGCAAUGAGCAAACAGUCAGCGGUUGUAUUUGAUUCAUGUUUAUUGAAAAAGUAUGAAUUUGAUCAAACAAAGAAAGGCACACAGAUACAGAGGACAAACAUAAGUACAAGGUAGGAGUUUCAUCAUUUAAAUCAUUUUAUGUGUAGGAGAUAGAUAGUGGCACAGCGGUCUAAGGCACUGCAUCUCAGUGCAAGUGGCGUCACUACAGUUUCUGGUUCGAAUCCAGGCUGUAUAACAUCCGGCCGUGAUUGGGAAUCCCAUAGGGUGGCACACAAUUGGCCCAGCGUUGUCUGGGUUUGACCGGGGUAGGCUGUCAUUGUAAAUAAGAAUUUGUUCUUAACUGACUUGCCUGGUUAAAUUUAAAAAAUGUAAUAUAUAAAUAAAUAGAUUCCACAAAGCCUGGUCUUGGCUCCACACCGUUGGUGAAGUUCCUCAUUAAACCUCCUUCACCAUGGAGUUUAGUCCGCUAAGUAUUUGGUCCCAUAUUCCUAGAACGCAAUGACUACAUCAAACUUGUGACUCUACAAACUUGUUAGAUGAAUUUGCAGUUUGUUUUGGUUGUGUUUCGGCUUAUGUUAGAACCAAUAGGAACUGAAUGGUGAAUAUUGUAUUGUGUCAUUUUGGUGUCAAUUUUAUUGUAAAUAAGAAUAAAAUAAGUUUCUGAAUGCUACCAUGAUUAUUAAUCAUGAAUGAAUUGUGAAUAAUGAUGAGUGAUAAAGUUACAGAGGAACAAUGAUCAUAUCCAUCAUUAUUAUUCAGAAUCCCUUCAUGAUUAUUGAUAAUUAUGGUAGCAUCCACAUUAAUGUAGAAGUGUCCAGAAACAUCUUCUAUUCUUAUUGACAAUUAAAGUGUCUCCAAAAUAACACAAUACAUUAUUCACCAUUCAGUUCCUAUUGGCAAAGCGUAAUCCGAAACUCAUCCAAAACAAACUGCAAAUGCAUCCAACAAGUUUGAUGUAGUAAUUUCGUGCUAGGAAUAUGGGAUCAAAUACAAAACUUUUGACUACUGUAAUGAAAUAUGUACAUUUGUCCAAAUACUUCUUCAAAUAGCGGGACUAGAUCCAUAAAGUGCUUUAAUUUCUAAACAGUAAAACAGAUAUGUAUGAAAAUAACCUAAACUUUAAGGUGACAUUCUGUACUAUCACCUCAUAUGAAACCAGUAUAGAGCCUCACUGUCCAAAUAAUUACAGAGGGAGUGUAUAGAAACCGUAUUAGUUUAGUGAAUUUAUUGCAAUUGUCACAUCUGCUCCUGCUACACCCCCUAGUGGACAUCCGGUGUCUCCUUGACCUGCAGCCAUUCUCCCAGUUCUCUCCCUCUCCCUCUGUGUGUGUGAUUGUGUAGUAUGAGACAGGUGUGCUGGAGUCAGAGACGUUCCCCACCAGCUGCAACCCAUUCCAUAAUCAAGACCUCUACAAAUACUCUGUCCUGCCACUUCCACUCUGCCAGAUCCUAAUCUCCGUUCAUUUUGCCGCUCUGACUCUGGUUCCUGUCUUCUGUUCCACAUCUCACCACCCUGCUACCCUGUUCUGGAAUCAACUCAUCAACACUCCCUUGGACCUGUUUACCCUGUCCCAACCCCAGUUCACUCCAACCUCAGCCUCCACAUCUGGUUUCCUACAACUUAUCCAAGCUUCCCUGGAUCUGCACUUCAUCUCUCCCUGUGUUACAAUAAAUAUAUUGGUUCAUCCCUGUUUCCUGGUCUGAGUCUGCUCUUGGGUUCCCCUGUUCUGCUCCACUUAACAGCAAUAGCAUGUUAUGACAGAGCAUAUUCUAGAAAGAGCGAGGUCAUUAUCUUCCUGUCCUCAGACUACUUUCAAGCCUAUUUGGUUCUGCAAACUAAUACAUUCUGGUAUUGGGUAGUAGAUAUAUUGAAAUUAAAUAUGUGUACUACAUUAGUGAAAAUGUGAAUGUUUUGUGACUCAAAUCACACAAAUAAUAAAACAUAUUGUUUAUAACA